CACCUAAUGUCGCUAAAUUGGCAACACUGAGCAGAACACUUGAACAUGAGAAGCCGUGUCUUUCUAUUGCAAUAUCGUCUGGUUUCUCAUAGGAAUUCACAAGGCUACAGAACUACCAGGAUUCUGUUUUACCAACAUCCCAUCUGUUUGUCCAGGUGGUACAGUCCACAUGGUACACAGGAACAAGGAGAGAGCUGAGAGAGAGAGAGAGAUUGCUCAGAUUAGUUACAUCAGGGGGCAUGCUGGUCCAGAAGCUCCGACCUGAUGACCUCCAGUCUGCAAAAGGUCACUUUGAUGGACCCAUGGUCUAGGUAGAAGUAGAGAACAGGGUUCACAUGGUGGGGAUACCUUGCUUGGAGGUGCUUGGCUACAGUAGUUAUGUACAACACACUAUAAGAUUGUAUUCAUCGCAUACGAAUGUCAAAAGUUGCUUAAGACUGUUAUUGUGUGACCCAGCCGCACCAUAUCAACAUAAGCUAGUAUUUUCCAGUCUCAAGCUGUGACCCCAAUGGAACCAAACACACACAACCAUUUGAUCAACUCUUUCUUACCUAAAGAACCAAUUCUAAUACUAGCUGAAAUGAUUCGGCUCUAAGGCUGAACAAAAAUAUAAAGGCAACAUGCAAAAAUGUAAAAGAUUUUACUGAGUUAUAGUUCAU